UGGGGAAUUUUGGACAAUGGGCGAAAGCCUGAUCCAGCAAUGCCGCGUGUGUGAAGAAGGCCUUCGGGUUGUAAAGCACUUUUGUCCGGAAAGAAAUCCUUGGCUCUAAUACAGUCGGGGGAUGACGGUACCAGAAGAAUAAGCACCGGCUAACUACGUGCCAGCAGCCGCGGUAAUACGUAGGGUGCAAGCGUUAAUCGGAAUUACUGGGCGUAAAGCGUGCGCAGGCGGUUUGCUAAGACCGAUGUGAAAUCCCCGGGCUCAACCUGGGAACUGCAUUGGUGACUGGCAGGCUAGAGUAUGGCAGAGGGGGGUAGAAUUCCACGUGUAGCAGUGAAAUGCGUAGAGAUGUGGAGGAAUACCGAUGGNGAAGGCAGCCCCCUGGGCCAAUACUGAGCGCUCAUGCACGAAAAGCGUGGGGAGCAAAACAGGAUUAGAUACCCUGGUAGU
rnacentral:rRNA from 1 species